rnacentral:tRNA from 1 species
GGGUAUUUAGCUCAGUGGUAGAGCACUUGCCUAGCAAGCACAAGGCCCUGGGUUCGGUCCCCAGCUUCCA